ACGAACGCUGGCGGCGUGCUUAACACCUGCAAGUCGAACGGAAAGGCCCUGCUUUUGUGGGGUGCUCGAGUGGCGAACGGGUGAGUAACACGUGAGUAACCUGCCCUUGACUUUGGGAUAACUUCAGGAAACUGGGGCUAAUACCGGAUAGGAGCUCCUGCUGCAUGGUGGGGGUUGGAAAGUUUCGGCGGUUGGGGAUGGACUCGCGGCUUAUCAGCUUGUUGGUGGGGUAGUGGCUUACCAAGGCUUUGACGGGUAGCCGGCCUGAGAGGGUGACCGGCCACAUUGGGAUUGAGAUACGGCCCAGACUCCUACGGGAGGCAGCAGUGGGGAAUAUUGCACAAUGGGCGGAAGCCUGAUGCAGCAACGCCGCGUGCGGGAUGACGGCCUUCGGGUUGUAAACCGCUUUCGCCUGUGACGAAGCGUGAGUGACGGUAAUGGGUAAAGAAGCACCGGCUAACUACGUG
rnacentral:rRNA from 1 species